UACGAAGGGGGCUAGCGUUGCUCGGAAUGACUGGGCGUAAAGGGCGCGUAGGCGGCCUGUGCAAGUCAGUUGUGAAAUCUCCGGGCUUAACUCGGAACGGUCAACUGAUACUGCUCGGCUAGAGUGCGGAAGGGGCAACUGGAAUUCUUGGUGUAGCGGUGAAAUGCGUAGAUAUCAAGAGGAACACCUGCGGCGAAGGCGGGUUGCUGGGCCGACACUGACGCUGAAGUGCGAAAGCUAGGGGAGCGAACGGG
rnacentral:rRNA from 1 species